rnacentral:rRNA from 1 species
GACGAACGCUGGCGGCGUGCCUAAUACAUGCAAGUAGAACGCUGAAGGAGGAGCUUGCUUCUCUGGAUGAGUUGCGAACGGGUGAGUAACGCGUAGGUAACCUGCCUGGUAGCGGGGGAUAACUAUUGGAAACGAUAGCUAAUACCGCAUAAGAGUAGAUGUUGCAUGACAUUUGCUUAAAAGGUGCAAUUGCAUCACUACCAGAUGGACCUGCGUUGUAUUAGCUAGUUGGUGGGGUAAUGGCUCACCAAGGCGACGAUACAUAGCCGACCUGAGAGGGUGAUCGGCCACACUGGGACUGGGACACGGCCCAGACUCCUACGGGAGGCAGCAGUAGGGAAUCUUCGGCAAUGGACGGAAGUCUGACCGAGCAACGCCGCGUGAGUGAAGAAGGGUUUCGGAUCGUAAAGCUCUGUUGUAAGAGAAGAACGAGUGUGAGAGUGGAAAGUUCACACUGUGACGGUAUCUUACCAGAAAGGGACGGCUAACUACGUG